rnacentral:rRNA from 1 species
CCUACGGGUGGCAGCAGUGAGGAAUAUUGGUCAAUGGACGAGAGUCUGAACCAGCCAAGUAGCGUGAAGGAUGACUGCCCUAUGGGUUGUAAACUUCUUUUAUAUGGGAAUAAAACGUUCCACGUGUGGGAUUUUGUAUGUACCAUAUGAAUAAGGAUCGGCUAACUCCGUCCCAGCAGCCGCGGUACUACGGGGGAUCCGAGCGUUAUCCGGAUUUAUUGGGUUUAAAGGGAGCGUAGGUGGAUUGUUAAGUCAGUUGUGAAAGUUUGCGGCUCAACCGUAAAAUUGCAGUUGAAACUGGCAGUCUUGAGUACAGUAGAGGUGGGCGGAAUUCGUGGUGUAGCGGUGAAAUGCUUAGAUAUCACGAAGAACUCCGAUUGCGAAGGCAGUUCACUGGACUGCAACUGACACUGAGGCUCGAAAGUGUGGGUAUCAAACAGGAUUAGAUACCCCAGUAGUC